rnacentral:rRNA from 1 species
AGAGUCAGAAUUGGUGCUGUUGGGCCGGGUCGUGCCCCCUGCCCAGAUAGGAUGACAACAUUAGAAAAAUCAGUCAGGUUGUUUGCGGAAUCCCAAGGGGAUAAUGUCAUUGUAUCAAAAUUGGGGCUCAGUUUUGAUACGUUGGGCAAGGCGUACGAUUUCUACAAUCUGUACUCCUGGGAGAAGGGAUUCGGGAUUCGUUAUGGAAAGAGCAGGCUAAAUGUAAAUCGGACGAAAUGUAUGCAAGAGAUAGUCUGCGGUUGCGCGGGAAAACCAAUAGUGGAGAAUACUCGAUCCUGCCGGUAUGAAUGUCCUGCCCUAAUCCAAUUGCUGCGAUCGAAGGACAAUGGGUGGUACAUAGCAAAGCACAGGGAGCAGCACAAUCAUGCCUUGUCCAGCACAUACGGUCAGACUUUGCACUGGCCAUCACAUAAACAUAUCAACGUAUACAGCAGGGAUCUGGUUAAGCAGUUGCGGAAGAACAAUGUGAACCUGUCAAAAGUGUAUAGCAUCAUAGGUAGCUUUUUUGGGAAAAUGGAGAAUGUACUGUUCACCAAGAGAGCAUUGCGGAACUUGUGUGGCAAAAUCAGUUGUGACCAGGCAGAGGAUGAUGUCAGAAAGACAAUGGAAGUGUUUCAAGAGAUUGGUGCUAAGGAUCAACAUUUCACAUACAGAGUACAAGCUGACAAAGAGGGGAGGAUAAGUAGUCUUAUGUGGGCGAACGGGAACAGCAGGCUUCAAUACACAUUCUUUGGUGAUGUGGUUACAUUUGAUACGACUUACGCUAAUCUGUAUGAUAUGCCAUUUGGGCUAUUUGUCGGAGUGAACAACCACUUCCAGAGCAUCAUACUCGCCGUCGUGCUUGUCAGGGAUGAGAAACAAGAAACAUUUGAGUGGGUAUUCUCGGAUUUUGUCAGAAUGAUGGGCGGUACUCCACCAUGGACAAUACUAAUGGGUAACUUCUUGCGCUUCUGUUGA